CUCAUUAGUUGCACUUAAGUUUUAUUUUUCUUUAAUAUAGGCAUUUACAAGAAAUAGCUCAAAGGCAGGCAUGGUGACUCACACCUGUAAUCUGAGCACUUUGGGAGGCUGAGGUGGGAGGAUCACUUGAGCCCAGGAGUUGGAGACCAGCUUGGGCAACAUAGCGAGACCUCAUCUCUACAAAAAAUAAAAGAAAAUAUUAGCUGAGUGUGGUGGCAUGCAAUUGUUGUCCCAGCUACUUGGGAGGCUGAAGUGGGAGAAUCGCUUAAGCCAGAAAGGUGGAGGCUGCAGUGAGCCGUGAUUAUGCCACUGCAUUCCAGGCUAGGUGGCAAAGUGAGAUCCUGUCUCAAAAAAAAGAAAAGAAAAGAAAAAAGAAAGAAGGAAGGAAAGAAGGAAGGAAGGAAGGAAAAGGAAGAAAGGAAGGAAGGAAAAAGAAAGAAAAAGGAAGGAAGGAAGGAAGGAAAGAAGAAAGGAAGAGCUCCAGUUUUGCAUGUCUGCAAAUCAAGCAAGGCACUGCUGAGUACAGGUUAGGUGUGGAGCAGAUAGCAAACGCCUGAUGAAUGAGGGUCUGGUCAGACUUCUAAAGAUGGCCCCUCAAAAGUUUUCCCAAGCUGGUGACAGAAGAGAAAUGCGAAGAGAGAUUUGAAGCAUGAGGGGAAUUUGCCGCACCAUUGCUGACUUGAACUUGGAGGGAUCACAGGAGAAGGACUGUGGGUGACUGCAAGGAGCCAGGAGAGGCUAACAGCCUCAAGAAAACAGGAACCUCAAUCCUGGAAACUCGGGAAAUUGAAUCCUUUCCCCAACAUGAAUGAGCCUGGAAGAUUUCUCUUCAGUUCCCAGAUGAGAACACAGCCAAGGUUCAGCCUUGGAAACCUUGAGCAGAGAACCCAGCCAUGUGUGUAGGACCUCUGAGCUUCAGAACUCGGGGAUGAGACACUUUGGACAUGAGAAGAUGAGGGAAGGAGGCUCUGGGCAAAGGGAAGAGAGUGGCAAAGGCUGGCUUAUGACUUCGGUGGCAGGACACUUUGUGACUUCUGAGGCUGGGUCAUAGAAGGCAAUACAGCCUCCAUCUCUGAUGACAUUGGAACCCAGCCACCAUGCUGUGAGGAAGCCCAAGCGUCCUGUGGAGAGAUUAUGUGGGAGAGAACCAAGGCCCCCAGGCCACAGCAUUGGCUGAGCUCCCAGCCAACAGCCAGCAUCAAUUUGUGGAUAUUCUUGGAAGCAGAUAUUCCAGUCUCAAGAUGAGUUGUCCCAGCUGAUACCACAUUGAGCAGAGAUGAGCUGUUCCUGAUUGUCUAACUGUAAGCAAAAUAAAUGAUUUUCAUUAUUUUAAGCCAUUUAAGUUUUAGAGUGGUUUGUUAUGCUGCAAUAGAUAGAGAUAAUUCAUUAAUU
rnacentral:lncRNA from 10 species